rnacentral:rRNA from 1 species
AGUGAACGCUGGCGGUAGGCCUAACACAUGCAAGUCGAACGGCAGCACAGUAAGAGCUUGCUCUUACGGGUGGCGAGUGGCGGACGGGUGAGGAGUACAUCGGAAUCUACUUUUUCGUGGGGGAUAACGUAGGGAAACUUACGCUAAUACCGCAUACGACCUACGGGUGAAAGCAGGGGAUCUUCGGACCUUGCGCGAUUGAAUGAGCCGAUGUCGGAUUAGCUAGUUGGCGGGGUAAAGGCCCACCAAGGCGACGAUCCGUAGCUGGUCUGAGAGGAUGAUCGCCCACACUGGAACUGAGACACGGUCCAGACUCCUACGGGAGGCAGCAGUGGGGAAUAUUGGACAAUGGGCGCAAGCCUGAUCCAGCCAUACCGCGUGGGUGAAGAAGGCCUUCGGGUUGUAAAGCCCUUUUGUUGGGAAAGAAAAGCAGCAGGUUAAGACCCCGCUGUUCUGACGGUACCCAAAGAAUAAGCACCGACUAACUUCGU